rnacentral:rRNA from 1 species
CAGCCGCCGCGGUAAUACGGAGGGUGCAAGCGUUAAUCGGAAUUACUGGGCGUAAAGCGCACGCAGGCGGCUUGUUAAGUCAGAUGUGAAAUCCCCGAGCUUAACUUGGGAACUGCAUUUGAAACUGGCAAGCUAGAGUCUUGUAGAGGGGGGUAGAAUUCCAGGUGUAGCGGUGAAAUGCGUAGAGAUCUGGAGGAAUACCGGUGGCGAAGGCGGCCCCCUGGACAAAGACUGACGCUCAGGUGCGAAAGCGUGGGGAGCAAACAGGAUUAGAUACCCGCGUAGUCCCUGUCUCUUAUAC